rnacentral:rRNA from 1 species
UACGUAGGGUGCAGGCGUUAAUCGGAAUUACUGGGCGUAAAGCGUGCGCAGGCGGCUUCUCAAGUCAGAUGUGAAAGCCCCGGGCUUAACCUGGGAACUGCGUUUGAAACAGGGAGGCUAGAGUGCGGCAGAGGGGGGUGGAAUUCCACGUGUAGCAGUGAAAUGCGUAGAUAUGUGGAGGAACACCGAUGGCGAAGGCAGCCCCCUGGGCUAACACUGACGCUGAUGCACGAAAGCGUGGGGAGCAAACAGG